UACGUAGGGUGCAAGCGUGUCCGGAAUUAUUGGGCGUAAAAGAGCUCGUAGGCGGUUCGUCGCGUCGGCUGUGAAAUCCCCGAGGCUCAACCUCGGGUCUGCAGUCGAUACGGGGCGGACUGGAGUUCGGGCAGGGGAGACUGGAAUUCCUGGUGUAGCGGUGAAAUGCGCAGAUAUCAGGAGGAACACCGGUGGCGAAGGCGGGUCUCUGGGACGGUACUGACGCUGAGACGCGAAAGCGUGGGGAGCGAACAGG
rnacentral:rRNA from 1 species